UUGAUAUGAUUUUGCAACAAGAUUAUUUAAUGAGCAACAAAUUUCCCUAACUUUUUACAACUUUUUAUUUCAGCAGUAAAAUGUAUAUUAUAGUAUUGUUUGUUACCAUUUACCAGUUCAUAUUUUAAAACAUGAAUUGUUUCACUGAUGCUUGGAAGUAUAUUUGUAAACUCACAGAUUCAAUCAUAUCCUUUCAUAGAUUGAAGUGCAUGAUAGUCCUGUCUUUGCACGUCCCUUUGUGCUCUAAUUCUGAUUUGUCAAGUUUUAUUAAUAGCCCCUGAAUCACAACCGAACUAGACAUGGAUAUUGUAUUUAUUUUUGAUAUAGCUAAUGGUUAAGUUUGUCUGAAGUUUCCUGCUAGUGACAUGGAACCAGCCACUUUCUCUAUGAAACCUUGGAUCCUCCAAGAGGGAUGCUAUUUGGAAACCAUGAAUUGGAAUAUAGGUGGGCUCAAACUAGAGUGAGCAUUACAAGGAACUAAAAGGAGAAGUCUCCAAGCAGAAGCCUGGCCUAAAGAAGGCAGAGGAGACCUGCCUCUUUCCUAUGGUGAUGGUGAAAGUCUGUCCCUAUCUCUGGAUAUCCAGCAUCUUCAGCACGCAGAACAAUGUCCAGUGGACUUUGUUGCCACCUCUGUAAUCCCUCCGUGAGGCUUCCAGUUCUACAGUAGAGAAAGCAAGUGGGAGCAGAAGCAGGCUACAGUCUGCAAGCCUCGAGCUCACUGAACUGGAGGAGAGUUCCACUUGAGAAGUCAUCAGGAAUCCUGUAGCCUUUCCAGUCAUGAGCAGUACCCUAAGACUCAGUCAAGAACUGACAUGCUCGUAGUAACUCAGUCAACUAGUAAGCACUAAACGUGAGCCUUAAUGCCUGGCUCCAGUCCUCAGCACUUUUGAUUGCCCUAGUUAGCUUCUUAUAGAGUGAACAAAGGCGGGCAUACCAUGCUAGAAGAGUACAGGGCUGCUGAAAAAUAGGAAGGCCAUGUGGACGAGGAGGCCAAGGGUAGCCUUGUGAAAGAAGCUAUGGCCUCCAGAGGUCAUUAUUUCCCCUGCAGGAAAGUCAGGUCACAAGCCAGUUAGCUGGCCUUUGGGAUUCCAAGAAGAGGUAGGUCUGACUUCAUGAUCUUGGCUUUAUUAGCAACUCUGAGGAUGUAGUAAGCUGUCUCACAACAAAACCCAGGAAUCCACAUUUUCAGAGAUUGGAGCCUUCUUCCCUUCUCCUAUUAUCCAGGCAAAGACGGUCACAGCAGCGACACUCACAUCAAUCUUCUUUACAGCUUGGUAGAGCAGAUAGAGAAGAGGAACAGACAAGUCCUAUGAAAAUGUGUAAUUAAUAACCUCGAGCCUAGAAAAAAGGAAGACAAAGAUUGUUCAAAAGAAAGAUUUCUUUCCUUAAGCUUCAAAUGCAUGAGUGUUUUAUUAUGGAUUGGUUUUGUCUAAUUUAAAUCAAUUUCAGGUUGCCCCAGAAUAGCCUUCUUCACUAAUCCAUGCCAAGACUGAAUGAGCUGUUCUUGAACAAAUUUCUUCCUAUUAGCUGACAUAUUCCUCAAGCUAGUUCAUGAUCCCCUCUCUCUGCUCUUGAGCAGAGCGUGCAUAGUAGCUCUUUCUUCCGUUUCCUUAUCGUGUGCUAGGAGUGUGAUGCUUUGCUGAUGAACCAAGCACCUUAUGAUGAGCCGGGCCUUUAGGCACCUGACAGCCAGGACAUAGAGUUGGCUGCUGUGAGCUGCUGUUCUCACUGAAGCUGACUGGUGCUGCUGGUGGAGGGGCAUCUUGGAGCAUCUAAGAUAAAGCCAUUGUUGGUACCUGCCUGAUCUUGAAAGAACUUGGCCAGCCAUGUGUUCGCCUGUUUUGCCAGCAAGACCAGCUUUCAUGAAUGAUCUUGUAAUUCUGUUUAUCUUCUGGCGCCACAGCUGUCAAACCCUAUAGCAUAAAUCCAUCCGUGUUGCAAGAGCCACAACACACCCGGUAAAGUUGGCAUGGACUCUGAGACAAUCCAUCACAUCUGAGUUUGAUGUCUUGGCAUCCAAUUGUUGCAGGAUCACCUGAAUCAUAUCCUUUGGAGUCUGUGCAGAAGCUGAGGGCGAGGUCAGCUUGCACAGUGGCCUCAGACCACCCAGUCCAUCUCUGCUGGACUGAUAAGGCGGGGUCUUUAUGUUAUGUGCUCCUGAUGUCUGGAUGGAGGAGCCACUCUUUUAGUUAACGGGAUUGUCAUAUCCACCGGACAAUUUCCAUAAGACAGAAUAUUUCGAAUCUAAAAAACAAACUUUAAAUCAGAGAGUUUUCUCUUUGUGUUCUGAUAGGUACUUUUACUUGUAUAAAAGUGCUUUGGGUGAA